UGCAAGUCGAACGAAGUAGCAAUACUUAGUGGCAGACGGGUGAGUAACAUGUGGGUAUCUUCCCUUUGGUGAGGAAUAACACGAGGAAACUUGUGCUAAUACCUCAUAAGUCUUUACGGAGAAAGCUUUAUGCGCCAAUGGAUGAGCCCGCACUUGAUUAGUUUGUUGGUGGGGUAAUGGCUUACCAAGACAAUGAUCAAUAGCUGAUUUGAGAGGAUGAUCAGCCACAUUGGGACUGAGACACGGCCCAAACUCCUACGGGAGGCAGCAGUAGGGAAUCUUGCACAAUGGAGGAAACUCUGAUGCAGCGAUGCCGCGUGAGUGAAGAAGGCCUUUGGGUUGUAAAGCUCUUUCGUCGGGGAAGAAAAUGACUGUACCCGAAUAAGAAGGUCCGGCUAACUUCGUGCCAGCAGCCGCGGUAAUACGAAGGGACCUAGCGUAGUUCGGAAUUACUGGGCUUAAAGAGUUCGUAGGUGGUUAAAAAAGUUGAUGGUGAAAUCCCAGAGCUUAACUCUGGAACUGCCAUCAAAACUUUUUAGCUAGAGUAUGAUAGAGGAAAGCAGAAUUUCUAGUGUAGAGGUGAAAUUCGUAGAUAUUAGAAAGAAUACCAAUUGCGAAGGCAGCUUUCUGGAUCAUUACUGACACUGAGGAACGAAAGCAUGGGUAGCGAAGAGGAUUAGAUACCCUCGUAGUCCAUGCCGUAAACGAUGUGUGUUAGACGUUGGGAAUUUAUUUUCAGUGUCGCAGUGAAAACAAUAAACACACCGC
rnacentral:rRNA from 1 species